UAUUGAUGUAGAAAUAAAAAUGAAAAUAAUUAAGAAAAUGCAGAAACAUCGAGCUAAUUAUAAGACUGAAAAUGUUAAAAACAUGAAAUUAAUUAAUUUUUCAGAAUUUCAAUACCUAUUUAAUAUUUAUACCAUACCUAUAUUGAUCAUUUUAUUUCUCAACUAGAAUUAAGAUUUGUGGAUCAGUGAAUCAUAAAAAAAAUGUUUGAAGGUUUUGAAUGUUUAUUAUUAAAUCAAUCCUUAGUAUCUAAAGAAGAACUAAAAUCAUUCAACAGUUUAUUAGAGUUUUAUAUGGCAUAUCACAUAUGCCUUUAAUUGAUUCCAAUAAUUCUACAGCAGAAUAAAAGUUGUGGAUAAUUAAAUUCACCAGGCUCAAAUGCUAAAUGUUGUUUCAAAAACUAAUCUUGAAGCAUUUUUAGUUAGAUUUAACCCAUUUUCAAACUUUAAUAAAUUAUUAAAAAUUGUAUACACAUUAGCCAUUAGGUACUUAUUAGUUUCAACAGCUACUCCUGAAAGAACGUUUUCAACACUCAAUUAAAAACAUAUUUAAGGAACACUAGGGGUCAGAAUCAAAUUUAUGGACUUUGCAUACUAUCAGUGUACAAAAAUAUUACAGCGACACCUAAUGCUGAUGAGGUAAUCAAUGUACUUUUAUUAUCAAUAUUGUUUAAAAAAUGGUUAGAUACUUAGAUAUAUAAUGGGGAUUUGUAUCUCGUGGUUUGGAUACUAGUUUAAAUUAAGUACCUAUAUUGUGUAAGUUAUAGAUUAAAUGUCAUAUUACUCAUAUUUUAUUGUUUUUAUGUAUUUUAGAUUUAAAAUUAAUUUAUGAUUUUUAUUGUGAUAUUAUGAAAUUUACAAACUUUAUUCAAUGCCGCCCAAUUGCUGUUUAAACCAAUUCAUGUUAAUUUUUUCUUAUUUAUUAGAUCAUUCUCGAACCAAAUCCAACUGUAUUUAGUUACAAUUCCAUAAAAAUAUGCCAAUCUAGCCAAUAUGUAGAUAAGUAUUUAAUUUAUAUUAAUUUAUAAUAUUGUAUAAUAAGUCAUUAUAAUUUAUUCAUUUGUUUUAUUUUUUAUACGUAUUGUUUUAUUGUGACGUCCAAUGAAACUGUUCUAUUGUUCAUGUCAUAGUGUAGGUACCAAAUUAUACAUAGGUAGGUAUUUAAUAUAUGUGUAUUAUAAUAAAAUAUAAUAUAUUCGUUUGUUUUUUCUUUCACGAAUUGAUGCGGAAAUUAAAUAUACGUGAAAAUAAUAGAUAGUAAAUAUUAAAUACCAUGCAACUUAUCCAGUGAAUACCGUUAAUUCAAAUUCAAUCGUAGAAUUGAUUAUUAUUAUUUAUUACCAGUGGUUUACCUAAGGUUAUUGGUGCAUGGGAACUUGUCGCUAGAGUAUUGGUAGAUAAUCAAAUUGUCCGUUCAUACAACGUUACAAAGAAAUAAAAUAAAACAAUAGAAAACCACAAUUGGUCAAUAGUUUCAUGCAAGUGACGAAAAAUGACAUUUACAGUUUUGUGAUAUUGGACAUUACGUAAAAUAGAUCGGGAUCCAAUACUCGGAAAUAUAUUAAUUUUUGCUCUAAAUUAACGUUGUUCAAUCAAGAAUCAAAAUUAAUUCAAAUAAAUGAUUUAUAUUUUGCUAACAUAACUAUUAUUCUUAUGAAAACAGCAACUUAAUUUAAUUUAACAUAGUGGAAAAUCAAAAAAUAAAAUUGCGUUUUAUUAAAAUUAAAGAAAAAAUUAGAAAAUUCAUUCAAUUGGAAUCUUCUUACUAAUUGCUGUAAAAACCGCAUUUAAAUAAUUUUUUGAAUUGGCACGGAUAUACAUCGGGUGAUACGAGGUUUCUGGAACAUAUUGUAUUAGGUUCCUAUAAUUGCUCUACAUCAGAUUAAUUAUUAAUAACUACUAAUAAGACACAGCUGGAUAUUGUCGUUUUUUUUUAAACAUUUAAAGAAAAAACGAUAAAAAUAUAUUAAUAUAUCGUUAUGAAAUGAUUGGUUAUAAAUUCUUGAUUGUUUUUUCAAUAAUAUAAAAAUUAUUUAUAUUUUAUUGAAGUAGCGGUUAAUAUAAUAUAAUAUAUUUAAUUUCUGUUACUUCAUUUUUUUUGUCAGUUUAUAUAGUUUAUA